GAACAUGAGGAAUCCCCCUCGAUGCACGAG
rnacentral:antisense_RNA from 1 species